AGCGAACGCUGGCGGCAGGCCUAACACAUGCAAGUCGAACGAAGUCUUCGGACUUAGUGGCGGACGGGUGAGUAACACGUGGGAACGUGCCUUUAGGUUCGGAAUAACUCAGGGAAACUUGUGCUAAUACCGAAUGAGCCCUUCGGGGGAAAGAUUUAUCGCCUUUAGAGCGGCCCGCGUCUGAUUAGCUAGUUGGUGAGGUAAAGGCUCAACAAGGCGACGAUCAGUAGCGGGUCUGAGAGGAUGAUCAGCCACAUUGGGACUGAGACACGGCCCAAACUCCUACGGGAGGCAGCAGUGGGGAAUCUUGCGCAAUGGGCGAAAGCCUGACGCAGCCAUGCCGCGUGAAUGAUGAAGGUCUUAGGAUUGUAAAAUUCCUUCACCGGGGACGAUAAUGACGGUACCCGGAGAAGAAGCCCCGGCUAACUUCGUGCCAGCAGCCGCCGUAA
rnacentral:rRNA from 1 species